GAGUUCCAUCUCUGGAACCCACAUAGGGGAAGGAGAAAAGCAACUCUUGCAAGGCGUCUUCUGCCCUCUGCAUGAGGUGCUGUGGCCAGUACACCCCACCACUUAAGUAAAAUGAAAAUAAAUUAGUGUUUCUUUGUUUCUUUCUUUUGUUUUGUUUCUUUCAGCAAGUAGAAUUCGUUCCCUCUCUUGUGUCUCACAGAAUUUAUGACUUGCUGGUAACCCAAAGAGUGCAACGGAGGGAAUGCUGUGUGGCUGCCAAGGACGGAUUCUUAAUUAUGUCACUCUGGGGUUUAAGAGCACUUGGAGACUUCUGAAGUCCAAACAGCAGACCUUGGCCUAGGGCCCCAGCAGUAUCCCAGUUUGAGAAGCAGUGUGUGGCGCUUCGUGGUCAUAAAUCCGUUUCUCCUGGAAGUGAGACGAGAGAGAACCAGCAGGGACUAAGGGCACAUGGAACCUCUCUGGAGUAGAAAACACAGAGCCUCUGACGCUGCAGGAGGCCACAGACUUCUGGCUGGGGAUGCAGCCAGACGCAGGCAGGCCAGUACAGGCAGCAGUGCGGACUCCACAGGAACUCACUCCCUUUGCUGCGGGUUGUGGAAGAGGGUGUCUCCCAUCACACGCUGUAGCUUCUCCUGCAUUAUGGCCUUGGUGCACCUCUGUCAGCAAGCAGAAUUAGUUCCCCUCUCUUGUGUCUCACAGGAUUUAUGACUUGCUGGCAACCCAAAGAAUGCAACGGAGGGAAUUGCUGCAUGGCUGCCAAGGUUAGGUCAAACAAACAGGCAGCUCCCCGCCUGGCUCUCCCGGGACGGGAUGUUUGCAGUGGUGGAGGCUAGGUGCUGUGUAGGAGGCUUCUGCACCCUGGGCCCUCUGGAUCGAGAGAGCACAUUCAGGGCUCUAUAGCUGAAAGACUCAAAUGGAUAGAGAUGGGCACGUGGAAGAAGGAGCCACUGUGGGCCUUCAUCUUCCAGCCUCUAGCUGUUGAAGGCACCCCCCAGUUUUCCCAGCUGAGUUUCCGGACAUUGGGGUCAGAGACCAGCCACCCUGUGGGACCUUGUCCAAUUCCUGCCGCUGACAGGAUAGCAACACAGCUGUUUGUUGGGACCGCUGGGUUUUCAGGCUGUAACUGGAGCAUGGGUCAACCGAGCAAACCUCGACAGGAUGACAUUUUCCCGCUAGAGCUCUGAGAAAGAUCCAGUCCCUAUCCUUAAGGUGGAAGAACACUGGCUGCCAGAGCAGAUAAACACACUCCCAAAAUGUGAUGUGUGGUAGAAGGGAGGGAGACACAGGCAUCGUGGUGGUUUGGAUUGCAGCGGCAGAGGGCAACCCACUUCCGUGUGAUGGGCUAGCUCAAAGGGAAGUUAGAUAGGAGGGUGAGUGGGAAGAGGAGAGGAGAAAGGCAAGGCUUUUGCCUGCUGACUUCCAGAGUUCAAAAGUCAUCCCGGGGGCCAGAAGUUGGCAAGCUAAGCCUAGGAGCCAAACUUGAUCUGCUGCCUGUUUUAUUCCACUUUAGCUGGAACAUAGCCUAGCACAUUUCCGUCUGUUUUGUUUCUGGGUGGUCUCAUAUGUGGUGUCCAGAGCAGAUCAGUGUAGACAGAGACCAUGAGGCCUGGUCAUCUCAUGCUUUGUAGACUGAGUUUGCUGACCUCUGCUGGGGGCCAAGGGAAGCUACUGAAGGCCUUUCAGUGGGAGAACAACUUAGCUCUGCUCGCACUGUCUGCUGUGCUGCUGGGGACCGGCAUGGGAACUGGGAAGGCUACUGAACUAAGAGGGGUCAUGAGUGUCUGCAUUGGGAGCACUUGGUUUCUUUCUUAUUCCCUGCCCCUUCUCCAAAGCCUACAGUAUAUACAAGACUUCCCGCGUAGGAACAGCAAUGCAGACACUAGCUCACCAAAUCCUUACAAGCUCUCAUGGCUCAGGAGAGAACAGGAUGGCUUUGAGAAGGUGCCCAGGGCACAGAGUCUGGUCAGCAGAGGGGCCUGUGCCAGAACCUACUUAUCUAACACUGACCGCCCAUGUGUGACCGGUCACAGGAGAAGCCUGCCUGGCAAGGCAAAAGGGGCAGAGUGGAUGGAGAGGUGGGCAUUGAGUCUGGGUUUGCUCAGGAGGACAGCAAAUUCUGGAUGUUGUGGAGGUAUGCCCAGAGAAAAUAUAUGUGCCUGAUAGCUGAGUAUUCUGUACAAAAGGCAUUCAUUCCCAUCGUCCUGGGUUAUCCAGUAGUCACAGGACCAAGACUUCUGACCAGCAAUAGCAAUAUGGGCAGCGUGGCAGGGGAAUUACCCUCAGUCCAUAGAGUGAGCCAUCCUAGGAUGCCUGAAUCAAUGGAGAGCAGGGAUCUGGUGGCUCAGGUUCUCACCCGAGGUCUGUCCCCGACAAACUGGGAGACCUUGGGCAGUAAACUCAGCCUUGUGGAACUCGGCUUCAUGAGACACAACCCUGGGUUGUUCAUGCUGCAAGGUUGUUGCUAGAAUUGAGUGUGAUGUGUUGGCUUGAAUUAGCUCCAUGUUACACACAUAGUGGGCACUUCAUAGACGGAGGGCAGCCCUCACCUUGUCUUGAAUGGUCUCAUCCCUCUCCUGGAUCUCUCUCUUGAGGCUUUGGAUGUCCUUCUCCAGGGUCUUGAUGACCCCCUGCAGCUUCAUCUGCUCUGCCUUCAGGAUCUCAAUGUCGUUGGUGCGCUCUUCGAUCUCCUUUUGCAGGCUACUGAACUGAGAAUAGAGCAGCAACGAAGACCCUUGGGGUCUUAGAUCUGAUCCCCAUCCCCCAGCUCAGCUGUGGAUGGGGCUGGCCCUUCUCCAGGGAACUAAAGCCCUCGUUGCUCAACAUCCAUGGCCUUGGGGAGUGAAUUUUGUUUAUUUGCUGUUAUUUUAUUUUUUGGGGGGGGGCAGUUUUGUAAAUUGCAAAAUAGAUUUUGUCCACACUU